rnacentral:siRNA from 1 species
UUAGUGGACUUCUCGCGACGU